rnacentral:rRNA from 1 species
GUGUCAGCCGCCGCGGUAAUACGAAGGGGGCUAGCGUUGUUCGGAAUCACUGGGCGUAAAGCGCACGUAGGCGGACCAUUAAGUCAGGGGUGAAAUCCUGGAGCUCAACUCCAGAACUGCCCUUGAUACUGAGGAUCUUGAGUUCGGGAGAGGUGAGUGGAACUGCGAGUGUAGAGGUGAAAUUCGUAGAUAUUCGCAAGAACACCAGUGGCGAAGGCGGCUCACUGGCCCGAUACUGACGCUGAGGCACGAAAGCGUGGGGAGCAAACAGGAUUAGAAACCCGAGUAGUCC